rnacentral:tRNA from 1 species
GUAGCUUGGUUGGAAAGCAAGUGCCUGACACGCAUGAGGGCCUGGGUUUGAUUCCCAGC